AACGAACGCUGGCGGCAGGCCUAACACAUGCAAGUCGAGCGGACCCUUCGGGGUUAGCGGCGGACGGGUGAGUAACGCGUGGGAACGUGCCCUUUUCUUCGGAAUAGCCCUGGGAAACUGGGAGUAAUACCGGAUACGCCCUUUUGGGGGAAGAUUUAUCGGCGAAGGAUCGGCCCGCGUUGGAUUAGGUAGUUGGUGGGGUAAUGGCCUGCCAAGCCGACGAUCCAUAGCUGGGUUGAGAGGAUGAUCAGCCACACUGGGACUGAGAAACGGCCCAGACUCCUACGGGAGGGAGCAGUGGGGGAUCUUAGACAAUGGGGGAAACCCUGAUCUAGCCAUGCCGCGUGAGCGAUGAAGGCCUUAGGGUUGUAAAGCUCUUUCAACGGGGAAGAUAAUGACGGUACCCGGAGAAGAAGCCCCGGCUAACUCCGUG
rnacentral:rRNA from 1 species